rnacentral:tRNA from 1 species
GGUGUUGUGGCGCAAUGGUGAGCGCAUCGGAUUUCGGUUCCGAAGGUUGCAGGUUCGAGUCCUGUCAACAUCG